rnacentral:tRNA from 1 species
UAAUAUAGCGCUUUUAGCAGCUUAAUUUCGACUUAAGUUAAGGGAAUAGUAG